rnacentral:rRNA from 1 species
AAUCAACGCUGGCGGCGUGCCUCAGACAUGCAAGUCGAACGCGAAAGUUUCCUUCGGGAAACAAGUAGAGUGGCGCACGGGUGAGUAACACGUAGGUAAUCUACCUUCGGAUGGGGAAUAACAAUCGGAAACGGUUGCUAAUACCGCAUAAUGCAGCGGCACCUAAUGGUGACAGUUGUUAAAGCGGGGGAUCGAAAGACCUCGCGUCUGAAGAAGAGCCUGCGGCGGAUUAGCUAGUUGGUAAGGUAAUGGCUUACCAAGGCAACGAUCCGUAACCGGCCUGAGAGGGCGGUCGGUCACACUGACACUGACAUACGGGUCAGACUCCUACGGGAGGCAGCAGUCGGGAAUUUUUGGGCAAUGGGCGAAAGCCUGACACAGCCACGCCGCGUGCGGGAUGAAGGGCCUUCGGGUCGUAAACC